UUUGCUGUGUGGUGGUGGUGGUAGUGGUAGUAGUUGUGGUGGUGGUGAGUGCUUGUGAUGAUUGUUAAGUGUAAUAGUCGACUCUCUCUCUCUCUCUCUCUCUCUCUCUCUCUCUCUCUCUCUCUCUCUCUCUCUCUCUCUCGUUUCAUUUCUUAACUAGCGAAUUGGGGUUUACGUUCUUGAUGUCUCGUUUCAGUCAUUUCUCCAGGUCUCAUUCGAGUCUCGUGGGUUCAUGUGAUGUAAUUUUUGAAAUACCCUAAUCGCUCUUACCACGACUAUUCCCCAAGGCCACAGAGGACGAUUAGCCAGGUUCUCAAGAGUGUUUCUCCUGUUAAUAAUGUAGAAAUCUUGUUAAUCUCUCACUAGAACCGUAAAAACAUCCUUAAAAACCCGUGUAAUUUCAUCUUAAGCCUGUGGAAAGUAGUGGAGGUGUGGUGCAGAACUGUUAUGGAAUGCGAUCCAAGUGGGGUGUCAGGUUCGAGGCUUCACGAGGUCAGACCGUUGCCCAGCUCGAGGCCAAAGUGGCGUGAGGGAUUCAAUUCACUCCUCACUUCCUCCACGGUUGCUGCUGGGCGCUCACUCCACAUCUAUAUAGUAUGAAGACAGUUGAGCUGGCAAGCCGGCGACUGUGGUGUUGUGAGCUGACAAUAGUGGUGGUGGUGGUGGUGGUCCCUGCUGGCUGAGUGGUGAUCUCGUGGACUCUGCAGCACUGAAGCAGUUGUGUGCGGGGCCUGUCCACCAGUACCUCGCCUGCUACCAAGACUUCCCUCACGCCAACUGGUCACGCCUCACGCUCCACGCCUCCGACACUGGGGAGAGAUGCUACUCGGCCCUCACUCUGCAUGUCUUCGUCCCCUGAGAAGCGUGGUGGUGUGGAGAGUCCUCAGCAUCGUCAAUGUGGAGUUGAUGAAAUUUAGUAUUGCUUAACUCUGUAUUGAUGUCUCGGUGCUUAGUGUCUUAAUGGAAGCUACUUUUGCUGCGUGUAUGAUCUUCGAGGUCUAGCAGGUGUAAUUCUUCAGAACUCGGCUCCUCGGGUUUUCAUAUUCCACCACUUUUCUGAUGUAAUUCUCCAGCCAUCAAAUUGUGUCCAUUCGCUCGUCUCCGUUUAGGUUUGGGUCAGACUGGAGUUGUCUUAAGGAUACAAGGUUGGAUUUAAAACUUUUUUUUUUUUUUUUAGUUGUAAAUGUGUGAUUACUGGCGAAUAAAGAUAUAGGGUGAGAAAUUAAGAUGGAGGAAUGAUGUGGUGAUUCUCUAUCUCUCCUCCCCC